rnacentral:lncRNA from 1 species
AACCGGACAGGAUGGCCGAGACCUCGUCAUCAAGAUCUUCUCCAAUUCCUCAGUCCAUCCCACGCGACACCCAAACGUCUUUGAUAAACCAAAACAGAAAUCCUCAAUGCAACAUCUCCACCAGUUCGCUGCAUCAGUCAGCGACCAUUCUACGUAAGAAAGCGUUACAGUCUGUGGGAGGCAGCAUCACCAGUGAUUCUUCACCAGAACCUACUUAAUCCCAAAAGUUCCAUUCCAUGGUAUCUAACAACUGAUUCCUACCAUUCUACUAAUCACAUGUGUGAGGUCUGUCGACUGGACACAGAUGACAGACACAGUUUAGGGAGUUUUCAUUACAGAGGGUGUGACAGCGUGAAGUAAACCUGGAGCCAAUAUUUCUAAUGAAGCACAAUUACUGUGAAUUGUUUACCGAGCGGCAGAAAAAGAAAUAAACAAACAAUAAGAAAAAAAAAGCAACAACUGUAGAUCAUCGAGGAAUUGACCCCUAAAAGAUUAGCUGGAAUCCCUUAAAAUAACUUUAUGAUUCAAAUGUUGAAGAACUUUAUUAUUUUUGCGGGAUUCCUUUUUUGGUGUUUGCUGAGUCCUAGUGUGACUAAAAGACCUCAGUGAAAACCAAUCUGGGACCGAAACCAAUUCCUUGAAGAAUACUGGAACUUUGGAAUCCCCUGAAAGCAAAAAAAAAAAAGAAAAAGAAA